rnacentral:tRNA from 1 species
GGCCCAGUGGCGAAGUUGGUUAACGCGACGGUCUGCAAAACCGUUAUGCACCGGUUCGAAUCCGGUCUGGGCCU